GACGAACGCUGGCGGCGUGCUUAACACAUGCGAGUCGAACGGAAAGGCCCUGCUUUUGUGGGGUGCUCGAGUGGCGAACGGGUGAGUAACACGUGAGUAACCUGCCCUUGACUUUGGGAUAACUUCAGGAAACUGGGGCUAAUACCGGAUAGGAGCUCCUGCUGCAUGGUGGGGGUUGGAAAGUUUCGGCGGUUGGGGAUGGACUCGCGGCUUAUCAGCUUGUAGGUGGGGUAGUGGCUUACCAAGGCUUUGACGGGUAGCCGGCCUGAGAGGGUGACCGGCCACAUUGGGACUGAGAUACGGCCCAGACUCCUACGGGAGGCAGCAGUGGGGAAUAUUGCACAAUGGGCGGAAGCCUGAUGCAGCAACGCCGCGUGCGGGAUGACGGCCUUCGGGUUGUAAACCGCUUUCGCCUGUGACGAAGCGUGAGUGACGGUAAUGGGUAAAGAAGCACCGGCUAACUACGUG
rnacentral:rRNA from 1 species